UUGAAUGUCUGAAGUUGGUUGAGCUGGUCUUAACGGACAUGGUGCUCGCUGCUUCUAUUCAUCUUAUCCACCUGUGCACUUAUUGUAGAGCUCUGAAGAAAGCCUUGGUUCAUACUGAGGUCAGUAUUUAGGUUCUAUGUUUUCACAAACUCUAUGAAUGUCUAGAAUGUCUUUUAUUGGGACUUGAUUGGCCCUUUAAACUUUAUA
rnacentral:misc_RNA from 1 species